GAACGCUGGCGGCGUGCUUAACACAUGCAAGUCGAGCGAGAAGGUUAUGACUGAAUCUUCGGAUGAAGGAUUAACUGGAAAGCGGCGGACGGGUGAGUAACGCGUGGGUAACCUGCCUUGUACAGAGGGAUAGCCACUGGAAACGGUGAUUAAUACCUCAUAAAGCUACAACAUCGCAUGAUGAAGUAGCCAAAACUCAGGUGGUACAAGAUGGACCCGCGUCUGAUUAGCUAGUUGGUGGGGUAAAGGCCUACCAAGGCGACGAUCAGUAGCCGACCUGAGAGGGUGAUCGGCCACACUGGAACUGAGACACGGUCCAGACUCCUACGGGAGGCAGCAGUGGGGAAUAUUGCACAAUGGGCGAAAGCCUGAUGCAGCAACGCCGCGUGAGCGAAGAAGGCCUUCGGGUCGUAAAGCUCUGUCCUAAGGGAAGAAUAAUGACGGUACCUUAGGAGGAAGCCCCGGCUAACUACGUGCCAGCAGCCGCGGUAAU
rnacentral:rRNA from 1 species